rnacentral:rRNA from 1 species
UACGUAGGGUGCGAGCGUUGUCCGGAAUUAUUGGGCGUAAAGGGCUCGUAGGCGGUCUGUCGCGUCAGGAGUGAAAACUCAGGGCUUAACCCUGAGCCUGCUUCCGAUACGGGCAGACUAGAGGUAUGCAGGGGAGAACGGAAUUCCUGGUGUAGCGGUGAAAUGCGCAGAUAUCAGGAGGAACACCGGUGGCGAAGGCGCACAUCUGGCCCGAUACUGACGCUGAAGCGCGAAAGCUAGGGGAGCAAACGGG